ACACACACACACACACACACACACACAUAUUUAUAAAAUUUCCAUCGGCUGUUGGCAAUGUAGAAUCCUAGUCUGGAAAGAAAUCACAUAUUCCCAGGAAUACCAGAGAAUCACAAUAUAGAUUUGAUGAUGAGCCUCAAAUUUUACUCUAUUUCCCCUUUAAGGAUAUGCUUCCUCAUUUGUUCAAAGGCAAUAAUAAUAGUUCCCGUCUCAUGGGGGAGUGAUUUCUGUUCUUAAGGUUAUUUAUAUGGUAUAUUACAUUAAUUUGUGUCUAUUGAGCCGGCUUCAUCUCUGAGAUGAAGCUAAUACAUCUGCUAAAUCCAUUUGAGCAGUGGUAUAGCUUAAAGUUUCCUUGUAGAUUUUUAAUUUGAAUGACUUGUGUAGAGAUGAGAACUGACAAUAGAAUCUCCCACUAUGUUGCACUUACACCCAUGUGACUUGUAAAUGCCUGUUCGUGUCUGUAUGAAGUCAUGAGCCACAGUGUUUGCUGCAUGUUUAUUCACAGUAGUUACAGCUGCUCUUCAGUUGUUCCCUUUAUUACAAUAUGCUGACCUUCUUUUUGUUCUAAUUUGAUUUCAGGUUAUCAGCUAUCAAAAUACUAUGCCUUGUAUUUGGUUUCCAUUUGUUUGGCAUGCUGACUUCCAUCUUUUGACUCUCAGUGUGGGUAUCCUCCAGAGAGAUGCUUCUUGGAAACAUUAGUUUGAGGUCAUUUGUUCCUAGAAACUAUGUACUAACCACUGUAAUUCUGUUGCUUAGACUCUUGUUCUUUUCCCUCCUGCCAGGGGUUUUCUGGUGUAUUACAUCAGACAUGAUCGAUUCCUUCUGAGCUCGCCUUUGUUGUCUGCUACUCUGUGAAAGUCUUACUCCCUUAUUUUCUUAUGAUUGAGAGUGUUUUUGCAUCUUCCUCUGUGUAUAAUAUUCCUUUAACUAUCUUCUGGAAUGCUAAGUUGGUGGUCAUGAACUGCCUUAAUUUGUGCUUAUCUUCAAAUAUUUGUAUUUCUUUAUCAACUUUGAAAGAUAAUGCUGCUGAGUAUAGCAACUGGGUCAGCACACUUGAGCUCUCUCAUUCCAUGAUUUCCUGACUGAAAUGGCUGAUGAGAGGCUGAUAUUCCUCUAAUAGUUAUGUCUCUGUAGGUAAGCUGACGGUUUCCUCUCACAGCUUUUAACCUUGUUUCUUUGUAUUCCUGUUGUCCUGGCUUUUAUGUGCCAUGAACACAUUGUUAUCUGCUCAUGUCUGUUUGGCAUUCUGUGCCAUGGAGACAUUGUUAUCCACUCUUGUCUGUUUGGCAUUCUGUGCCAUGGACACAUUGUUAUCUGCUCGUGUCUAUUUGGCAUUCUGCAUGAGCUUUUGUGUUUCGAUGUCCAUUUCAUUCUCUAGAUCUGUGAAAUUUUCUGCUGAGGUUUUAUGAGCUGCAUGCCUGCCAUUCUUACCUAAGUUUCUACCCACGGUGCUUAGGUUGGAUUGCAGAGUUCUUGGGCUUCAAGGUAAAAACCCUUUAUUGUUUUCUUUAUGGGUAUUGGAAUGCAGGGUUUGUCUUUUGUGCUCUCCAGCCCUGAAACUCUUUCUUCCUCUUGGUCAGAUUUCUUGGCAAUGUUUUCCACUGUUUCUUUAUUUGAUUCAUUGAGUUUAUUUCCAAGUUUCUUUUUUUCAAAACCUCAAUUUCCUUAUUGAUUUUCCCCCUUACCCAUAUUUUUCAUCCAUAUUACUGAGAGUCAGUCUCUCUCUCUCACACACACAUGCACACUUUUUUUCAAUUUUUUUUUACAUUGCUGACUUCAUUCCAAGUCCUGUUUUUUGUCCUACAGCUUGUUUGCAUAUUCUUUAAGGUCACUUAUUAUUUUGACUAAUACACUCUUGAAGUCUCAUCUGACACUUUGCCAUUUCAGUAAUAUCGUUGAAUUCAAUAAUUGAGUGGGGUCUUUUGAAAUCACACUGUGUGCUCUCUCUCUCCCUCUGUCUCUCUCCCCUCCCUCUCUCUAUCUCUGUCUCUCUCUCUCUUUCUCUCUCUCUCUCUUUCUCUCUCUCUCUCUCUCUCUCUCUCUCUCUCUCUCUCUCUCUCUCGUGUGUGUGUGUGUGUGUGUGUGUGUGUGUCCCUCCCUCCUUUCCCUCCCAUCCCUGUGAGCAUCCCUUCUCCCUACAAGCCCAUUUCCCACAUUCUUGUCUUGGUUUAGAGACCUGUAUUCCUAAAUACUGAAGAGACACAUUUCUUUUUGCUAAAUCCAGAACUCUUAUUUGAAAAUAUUUUCAAUUAGUAAUCAUAUAGAUUUGAAAAAAUACUUUGGUUUAUCUUUAAUGGCAUAUAAAACAAAGCACAGUAAUCCUGUGACCAUAAACAGAAGGUGGUUAGGAAUGUGGGCAUGGGAUCUGGGAGGUAAUGAAGCGUGUUCAUCCUUUCAUCGAGUCUAGGAUGCCUAUAUUCAUGUGUCUGUGGGACAGUUAAAAGAUAAUAAAGACAGUACUGACAUCCCAUCUUUUCUAUAAAUGUUUAGUGCCUUAAAACAUCACAGCUUUUUUAUUUUUCUACAUGUAAUUGUUUCAAAGUAUAUACUUAGGUAACUAUUUAACUUUACCAUUUAUUCAAGAUUCUUACUGGAAGAAUCUAACAAAUGUCUUUAUAGAUUUUAUUUCCCAAAUUGUAUUGCUGGUAAAUUGUUACAGCAGCUGUACUUAGGUCCUCAAGUGCAAGAAUAUCUGCACUGCUUUCAUGCUCUAAGACUCCAAGAUAACACUCGGUGAUAGACUAGGAAGGGAACUAAAUAGACUUCCCAGAACUACUAGGGAGGGGCUGAUGAUGCAUUAGCUCUUGGAAAGACAGCUCCUGCCUGCUGGGGGUGAGAAGGAAGUGCCUCCCUAUAAAGCCAGCCAGAUGAGAUAUGUGAGGGCUAGCUUUACCUCAGCUUUCUAGCCAUGUGACCAGAAAGUAUCUGAAAAUAGAAUAACUUGCAUUUGACUUAAAGGGAUACAUUUCUAGACUUGAAGCCAAUACGGUUGUGAACUGAGGCUGUUUCUUCAGAGGCCUGUUGUCUUGACAUACGCAGAGGUGCUUUACAGCCUCUCUCUCAGCCUCAGGGCUCCUUGUCUUUGGUGUCCUUGCUUCUGCACUUCCUUGCCUGUUGCUCUUUAGCCUUUGACCCACACUCUGCUUGCUUGUUUCCUAGGUCUGUAAGGUCAUGAAUGACACAUUAGCAGAGAACAGGAUCUAAAAUGUAAGGAUCUUGGGUUUGCCCACUGCCUCUCCUCAGCUCUGUCAAGGCCUGUGGAGUCUCUGAGCUCUGGGCCUGCCUGAGUGUUUUAGGAGGAGCAUCACAGCUCCAGUGUUUGAGACAUGGUGCUGCCAUUGCUCACCAAAUAACAACUUUUUAGCCAUUGCCUUUCCUCAUCACCCAGGAGGAAACAGUACCUGGAGCAGGGCUGACAGUUUUAUAAGGUCAUGUAGCAAGUUCAUCUGGGGCUUAGAGCUUCUGCCUGAGCCCCUGAGCCUUAGGCAACCCCUUUCUACCUGUAGUCUACUUUUGUAACCUUUCCUCAUAAGUUUGCUGACUGGAAUUUUUGCUUUCUGACCACCAUUGUUCACAGUUUAUCUUUGAGGAAAUGUAUGGGUUUUUGUUUUGUUUUGUUUUGUUUUGUUUUGUUUUGUUUUUCUGGUUUUUAUCCUUAGCUGGGAGAGUGAUGUUUCCUCCUUUUCUGAUAAGGACAGCAAUUGGCCAGACUCCAGGGUCUGAGGAAAUACAGUUGUAGAAACUGAAGGUUACCCUAUGGGUGGGCCAAUUCUUUGCACUGGAUUUUUAAUGUUUACUCCUGCAGUAGUACUUAAAUGUGAAAAACGUCAAAGUUCAAAGGGUAAAUAAUAUGUUUCACUUGAAUUUUUCUAAUACAAUAUUUUAGUGUAUGUGUACCCAUAUAAAGAUGAGUAGAGUUUGGGUGUAGCUCACUGGGUGGAGUCUUUGCUUGCCAUGCUUAAAGCUCUGGGUUCAGUCACUGGCACCAUAUAAGCCAGGCUGCAGGGCAUACACCUGUAAUCCCAGAGCAUAGGAAUCCAUCAGAAGAAGCUGAAGGUUCUCCUCUUACAUAAGGAAUUUGAGGCCAACCUGGGUUAGAGAACCUGUCUCAAAAAAGG
ensembl:lincRNA Gm26514 predicted gene, 26514